UACGUAGGGAGCAAGCGUUGUCCGGAAUCAUUGGGCGUAAAGCGCGCGUAGGCGGCCCUGUAAGUCCGUUGUGAAAGUCAAAGGCUCAACCUUUGAAAGCCGAUGGAUACUGCAGGGCUGGAGUCCGGAAGAGGCGAGUGGAAUUCCUGGUGUAGCGGUGGAAUGCGCAGAUAUCAGGAGGAACACCAAUAGCGAAGGCAGCUCGCUGGGACGGUACUGACGCUGAGGCGCGACAGCGUGGGGAGCAAACAGG
rnacentral:rRNA from 1 species